GGCUCCGUGGUGUAGUGUUUAGCACGUCUGCUUUACACGCAGAAGGUCCUGGGUUUGCACACCAGGUGGAGCCA
rnacentral:tRNA from 1 species